rnacentral:lncRNA from 1 species
UUUUGUUAGCUGUGGUUUCACCCUGUGGCAUUGGUGGCAGUUAUUACACAUGCUCAUUUCCUGCGCACGUACUAACUGGAAUGCCAUCAAUAGGAGAAGCAGAGCUGUUCUCUUUUUAUUCAUGCUGUGAUCUGCCCCAAAUCCAAACCAACAAAUCAAGUCGGCAAUUUAACAGAAGUGACACUGACGGAAUUUCUACAAGCAGUGUCCUUGGAAUUCAGGUCUUUGUUAUGGGAACAGCAGUUUGGAGGUUAAAUACCAGAAAAACUGUGAACUGUGAAUGCUUGGAAUAA